rnacentral:lncRNA from 1 species
CAUUUCAACAAUUUUCUCUUUAAUAUUAAAAUGAUAGGAAAUUAAUGAAUUGUGACCUUUUUGUCCUAGAAUCAUCUAUAUCAUUUAUAUUUAAAUACUGCAAUGGUCAUACAUUUAUUUUUUAGUUAAGAAUUUAAAAGCGCUUCUUUAAAAUCUAGUUUAGGUAUAUAGGCCAUAUUGCUGAUUGUAAUAGCUAGGAAUACAUAAGAUUCAAUCUCUUUAUAGUAAAUCAAUUUUUGUCGAUUUAAGAAAAUUUGUACAUAUAUUGAUACUUAAUUUUAGUAUUUAAUAAAUUAUACACACUUGAGACUGGAGGUAUAGAACCAACAAUUCAGGCCUGGUCAGAAAAAAAAACAUAGAAAAAAAUAGUACCUGUUUUUUUAGCAAAAAAGUUGCUAUCAAUAGCUGUAUGUGAUUAAAAUAUUUUGAUAACUGAGGUAUAAAAUGAAAGUUGAAGGAUUUGAGAUCACUGUAGAACCUAAGUCAAUUCUUUUAAAGAUUAGAAAAAAUAUGAAUUGAAUUAGAAGGUCAUAUAUUGCCUUUUUCUAAGAUCAGGCCUUUCAGUCUUGUACAAUUUCACAUAUGUAUUAUAUUUAUUGUGCUAAUUCUAUUGAAGAGAUGACAGUUUUUUUCAUUUUUUGUUUGUUUCAAUAAACCUCUAUAUGAACUUCAAUCAGUAGUUUGUAUUUGCUUCACCUACAGGGUACCUUGUGCCAUAUAUUCUAAGACCUAGAUAGAAAGUGACAUUAUAUUUAUUAUAUAUCUUACAUUUGUUAAUUUAAGAAAAACAAAGGUUGUACUAUGUCCUAAACUUACAUUUCAUAAGAUAGUAAUUGUGCCAUAUUAAGAAAAUAAUAAUUUAUAUUGUUA